UACGUAGGUGGCGAGCGUUGUCCGGAAUUACUGGGUGUAAAGGGCGUGUAGGCGGGAGAGUAAGUCAGAUGUGAAAUUCCUAGGCUUAACCUGGGCACUGCAUCUGAAACUAUUUUUCUUGAGUGCUGGAGAGGAAAGCGGAAUUCCUAGUGUAGCGGUGAAAUGCGUAGAUAUUAGGAGGAACACCAGUGGCGAAGGCGGCUUUCUGGACAGUAACUGACGCUGAGGCGCGAAAGCGUGGGGAGCAAACAGG
rnacentral:rRNA from 1 species